rnacentral:rRNA from 1 species
UACGAAGGGGGCUAGCGUUGCUCGGAAUUACUGGGCGUAAAGCGCACGUAGGCGGCUUUCUAAGUCGGGGGUGAAAUCCUGGAGCUCAACUCCAGAACUGCCUUCGAUACUGGAGAGCUUGAGUCCGGGAGAGGUGAGUGGAACUGCGAGUGUAGAGGUGAAAUUCGUAGAUAUUCGCAAGAACACCAGUGGCGAAGGCGGCUCACUGGCCCGGUACUGACGCUGAGGCACGAAAGCGUGGGGAGCAAACAGG